AAACAAGGAGUAUGAUUGGGAUGCAAGUGUGGCAAUCAGACCCAACCAAAAUAUUGCACCAAACAAAGAUAGCAAACUGGUUGUUCAACUCAAUACAAAAACUUUCAGCAAUGAUGCACUUGACAUAACCGAUCUUGCAGCUUUCUUUCUAAAUUACUUUUCUUCUCUUUUUUUUGACACGCUUUUCUUUUUAUAACUAAACACAAUGAUCAGAUAUAAUACUUGCAAACUUGAUGAUAGAAACAAAGCACAACCAGAAACUAUAACUUGAUAGGAUCAAAGAUAACACAAAGGAUGAUAUAGGCUAUAGAGAUUUUUUUUUUGGAUUUUUAGAUAUAAAAGAGGCACAAAGAACAUGUGAAGGAUAAAUGAUCAGCAACUAAAAUAAAGACUCUAAUGAACUGUGACUUAAUCGAACUCACUAAAAUAACAGACUGAAACAAAGGUCUAAGCAAUAUAUUUUCCUGGCUUUUUGGUGGAUAGGACGAAGCAAAAAUAUAUAUGUAGCUAGGGAUAAAAUUCCUACCGUGGUAACAAAAGCUUUGAUACCAGAUGAUGCGACACGUUGUCCCGAUCUUCACGACAUAGGAUGAACACCGAUAACUAGCUGAAGAACAGCCGAAUAACUUGCUGCAAGCAGCGAUAACUAGUGGAACCUGGCAAAUAAAACUCGAAGCCAACCACCAUCUUUAACCGGCAACCUAAAUCGAGGAUUCACCCAACCACACUCUCAAAGAACCAACCAACACAAUCUACAAUCAAUCAAGGAAUACCUUGAAGGGAGUAGGAGCACCAAUUGGGAGCGGAUGAAGCCGCUACCUAUGUGAUCCGGCGAGGAAAUCACAAGAGCAAAGGGUAGAGAUCACUCUCUGAAUAUUUGUUAGCACAUAGCUAAACAAAAGGGGUUCUGUAUUUCAAUUAUCAAAAGUCUUCAAUUACAAAGAGUCUUAGGGGGUAUUUAUACUAGCAAUAGCCCAGCUAGAUAGGUAUGAAAAUAAAAUAGAGUUUCUGAGGGAAGGCAAUGUGAAAGGUCCGCUUAGAAUGGAUUCCCGAAGUGGCUUCGCGUGACUGUUGGCCUCCAGAGCAGUUUCCAAUAAACUGACCAUAACUUCUUUUGGGAAGUCCAAAUGAUGAACCGUUUCUUGGGUGUGAAACUAGACUUA
rnacentral:lncRNA from 1 species